rnacentral:rRNA from 1 species
GACGAACGCUGGCGGCGUGCUUAACACAUGCAAGUCGAACGAUGAACCCGGAGCUUGCUCCGGCGGAUUAGUGGCGAACGGGUGAGUAACACGUGAGUAACCUGCCCUUGACUCUGGGAUAACUGCGGGAAACUGUAGCUAGUACCGGAUACGACCCUCGGCGGCAUCGCCAGGGGGUGGAAAGAAUUUCGGUCAAGGAUGGACUCGCGGCCUAUCAGCUAGUUGGGGAGGUAACGGCUCACCAAGGCGAAGACGGGUAGCCGGCCUGAGAGGGUGACCGGCCACACUGGGACUGAGACACGGCCCAGACUCCUACGGGAGGCAGCAGUGGGGAAUAUUGCACAAUGGGCGCAAGCCUGAUGCAGCAACGCCGCGUGAGGGAUGACGGCCUUCGGGUCGUAAACCUCUUUUAGUAGGGAAGAAGCGAAAGUGACGGUACCUGCAGAAAAAGCACCGGCUAACUACGUGCCAGCCGCCGCCGUAA